GAUGAACGCUGGCGGCGUGCUUAACACAUGCAAGUCGAACGAAGUGGCGAAAGGGUGAGUAACGCGUAAUCAACCUGCUCUUCAGAGGGGGACAACAGUUGGAAACGACUGCUAAUACUGCAUACUUUAGGAGGGGAUUGCGUCUGAUUAGGUAGUUGGGGGGGUCACGGCCCACCAAGGCGAUGAUCAGUAGCCGGUCUGGGAGUGUGAACGGCCACAUUGGGACUGAGACACGGCCCAGACUCCUACGGGAUGCAGCAGUGGGUAAUCUUGCGCAAUGGACGAAAGUCUGACGGAGCAACGCCGCGUGAGUGAUGACGGCCUUCGGGUUGUAAAGCUCUGUUAAUCGGGACGCGGUACCGGAAUAGAAAGCCACGGCUAACUACGUGCCAGCAGCCGCGGUAAUAC
rnacentral:rRNA from 1 species